CCUACGGGUGGCAGCAGUGAGGAAUAUUGGUCAAUGGACGAGAGUCUGAACCAGCCAAGUAGCGUGAAGGAUGACUGCCCUAUGGGUUGUAAACUUCUUUUAUAUGGGAAUAAAACGUUCCACGUGUGGGGUUCUGUAUGUACCAUAUGAAUAAGGAUCGGCUAACUCCGUGCCAGCAGCCGCGGUAAUACGGAGGAUCCGAGCGUUAUCCGGAUUUAUUGGGUUUAAAGGGAGCGUAGGCGGAUUGUUAAGUCAGUUGUGAAAGUUUGGGGCUCAACCGUAAAAUUGCAGUUGAAACUGGCAGUCUUGAGUACAGGAGAGGUGGGCGGAAUUCGUGGUGUAGCGGUGAAAUGCUUAGAUAUCACGAAGAACCCCGAUUGCGAAGGCAGCUUACUAAACUGUGACUGACACUGAUGCUCGAAAGUGUGGGUAUCAAACAGGAUUAGAUACCCCAGUAGUC
rnacentral:rRNA from 1 species